rnacentral:rRNA from 1 species
GACGAACGCUGGCGGCGUGCUUAACACAUGCAAGUCGAACGGGAUUUAGUAGACAGAAGCCUCGGCUAAAGAUUACUAAUGAGAGUGGCGAACGGGUUAGUAACGCGUGAGCAACCUGCCUAUGACAGUGGGAUAGCCUCGGGAAACCGGGAUUAAUACCGCAUAAAAUCGUAGAAACACAUGUUUUAACGGUCAAAGAUUUAUCGGUCAUAGAUGGGCUCGCGUCUGAUUAGCUAGUUGGUGAGAUAACAGCCCACCAAGGCGACGAUCAGUAGCCGGUCUGAGAGGAUGAACGGCCACAUUGGAACUGAGACACGGUCCAAACUCCUACGGGAGGCAGCAGUGGGGAAUAUUGCACAAUGGGGGAAACCCUGAUGCAGCGACGCCGCGUGAACGAAGAAGGUAUUCGUAUCGUAAAGUUCUGUCCUAUGGGAAGAUAAUGACAGUACCAUAGAAGAAAGCUCCGGCUAAAUACGUG